GUGAAUUGAUGUUAUUUCUGCAAAUUAUAAGUUCUGAUACAGAGUAAAUGAAUUCACAUUAGUCUGUGAUUGUUUUCUCAGCUGGAAACUGAGUUAGCAAAAA